AUUGAACGCUGGCGGCAGGCCUAACACAUGCAAGUCGAGCGGGGUUUUCGGACCUAGCGGCGGACGGGUGAGUAAUGCGUAGGAAGCUGCCCGAUAGAGGGGGAUACCAGUUGGAAACGACUGUUAAUACCGCAUAAUGUCUACGGACCAAAGUGUGGGACCUUCGUGCCACAUGCUAUCGGAUGCGCCUACGUGGGAUUAGCUAGUUGGUGAGGUAAUGGCUCACCAAGGCGACGAUCUCUAGCUGGUUUGAGAGGAUGAUCAGCCACACUGGAACUGAGACACGGUCCAGACUCCUACGGGAGGCAGCAGUGGGGAAUAUUGGACAAUGGGCGCAAGCCUGAUCCAGCCAUGCCGCGUGUGUGAAGAAGGCCUUCGGGUUGUAAAGCACUUUCAGCGAGGAGGAAGGGUGGUGUGUUAAUAGCACAUCAUUUUGACGUUACUCGCAGAAGAAGCACCGGCUAACUUCGUGCCAGCCGCCGCAGUAAAAC
rnacentral:rRNA from 1 species